GUAAGAAGUGCAUGGUGCGAUAAUCCCAGCACACCCACUUCUCACUAAACAAUCGUAAUAGCCGGACGUAAAACUACUAGUUUAAGGUUUUCUUAAAUUGAGAAGCUGUUUAACAACGGGUUACGAUGGAUGGAAAAGGUCAAACUACAGGUAAUUCACCAUCAUGUCCGCCUUCACAUCCAGCUCCACCGCCAUCACCACCUCCUAUUAAACCCUGUGAAUAUUCUAAAAAAUGACAGAAAUCAGAGAGAUGGAAAGGAACUUCAUAUUCAUCUUUUUGUGACCUGAGAAAUAUGAAACAUUCUUUAAGAAAAAUG